CCCCGGCCACCCAGGGGGGCGGCGGGAAUUUGAUUAAGGGAAAGACCCUUACCGGUUCUUGACAUUUUUGGAUAGCCUAAGAGAUUAGGUGUUCCCUUCGGGGACAAAAUCACAGGUGGUGCAUGGUUGUCGUCAGCUCGUGUCGUGAGAUGUUGGGUUAAGUCCCGCAACGAGCGCAACCCUUAUUGUCAGUUGCCAGCAUUAAGUUGGGCACUCUGGCAAGACUGCCGGUGACAAACCGGAGGAAGGUGGGGAUGACGUCAAAUCAUCAUGCCCCUUAUGACCUGGGCUACACACGUGCUACAAUGGACGAUACAACGAGUCGCUAGACCGCGAGGUUAAGCUAAUCUCUGAAAGUCGUUCUCAGUUCGGAUUGCAGGCUGCAACUCGCCUGCAUGAAGUCGGAAUCGCUAGUAAUCGCGGAUCAGC
rnacentral:rRNA from 1 species